rnacentral:rRNA from 1 species
AGUUCGGUAUAGCUCAGAUUGAACGCUGGCUGGGGAUGUGCUUUACAUGCAAGUCGAACGGCAGCACGGACUUCGGUCUGGUGGCGAGUGGCGAACGGGUGAGUAAUGUAUCGGAACGUGCCUAGUAGCGGGGGAUAACUACGCGAAAGCGUAGCUAAUGCCGCAUACGCCCUUCGGAAAAGCGGGGGACCUUCGGGCCUCGCACUAUUAGGCGGCCGAUAUCGGAUUGGCUAGUUGGUAGGGUAACGGCUCACCAAGGCGACGAUCCGUAAGCUGGUUUGAAGAGGACGACCAGCCACACUGGGACUGAGACACGGCCAGACUCCUACAGGAGGCAGCAGUGGGGAAUUUUUGGACAAUGGAAGCCACAGUCCAGCCAUCCCGCGUGUGCGAUGAAGGCCUUCGGGUUGUAAAGCUACUUUUGGCAGGAAAGAAACGGCGCAGGAUAAUACCCCGUGCAACUGACGGCUCCUGCAGAAUGGCACCGGCCCCAACUACGUGCCAGCAGCCGCGGUAUACGUAGGGUGCAAGCGUUAAUCAAAAGAUUACUGGGCGUAAGCGUGCCUGAGCGGUUCCGGAAAAAGCCGUCUUAGAAAUCCCAGAGCAACUUUGGGAACUGCCAUUUCGCUACCAGGCUGGAAGUGUCGGGAGGUGGAAUUCGCCAUCCUCAUGCAGUGAAAUGCGUAGAUAUGCGGAGGAACACCGAUGGUAAGGCAGCCUCCUGGGAUAACACUGACGCUCAUGCACGAAAGCGUGGGGAGCAAACAGGAUUAGAUACCUGGUAGUCCACGCCUAAACGAUGUCAACUAGCUGUUGGGGCCUUCGGGCCUUGGUAGCACCAACUAACGCGUGAAGUUGACCGCCUGGGGAGUACGGUCGCAAGAUUAAAACUCAAAGGAAUUGACGGGGACCCGCACAAGCGGUGGAUGAUGUGGAUUAAUUUCGAUGCAACGCGAAAAACCUUACCUACCCUUGACAUGUCUGGAAUCCCGAAGAGAUUUGGGAGUGCUCGCAAGAGAACCGGAACACAGUGCUGCAUGGCCCGGCGUCAGCUCGUGUCGUGAGAUGUUAAGGUUAAGUCCGCAACAGAAGCUGACAGCGGCAUCAUUAGUUGCUACGAAGGGCUCUGUGAGACUGCCAGUGACAAACCGAGGAAGGUGAGAUGACGUCGGUCUCAUGGCCUUAUGGUGGGAGCUUCACGUCAUGCAAUGGUCGGGACAGAGGUCGCCAACCCGCGAGGGGAGCCAAUCCCAGAAACCCGAUCGUAGUCCGGAUCGCAGUCUGCAACUCGACUGCGUGAAGUCGGAAUCGCUAGUAAUCGCGGAUCAGCAUGUCGCGGUGAAUACGUUCCCGGGUCUUGUACACACUGCCGUCACACCAUGGGAGUGGGUUUUACCCAGUAGUUAGCCUAACCGUGGAGGGCGAUUACCACGGUAGGAUUCAUGACUGGGGUGAAGUCGUAACAAAGGCUGCU